GUUCCUUCUGGUCGUCGUAGC
rnacentral:miRNA from 1 species